AGCCUGUUGUCUGAAGAGUCCAUGGAACGUCCAAGUGACUUCAGUUAGUGCCAAACAACGUGAACUGGCUUGGCACCAAAAGCCUUGUGCUAUCCUGACCCUUGCACCACCGGGAGCAGGGGCCACUGUGCUCCAAGCAAGCACUGAGGACUCCCAGGUGCCAUCUUGUGCUAAUGGGGCUCCUAAUGAGCAUCAGGGGAAAGAGCUUUAAAAGGAAGGCUGCCAAGAAUCCUCCUGGUUUUAAAAACCUGGGAUAGUCUAGUUUUGUUUCAUCACCAGUUUCUUAAAAGUUUACUUUGUAGAUGGUCCUGUAGGUUGAACUGGUUCUGUCCAGAUGAUGCAAGUCUCUAAGUGCCCUUUAGAGAAGGCCUCACGCAAGAGUUUGUCUCUUUUAAGGGGGAAGUGAAGAAGGGAAGGUCCUCCCCUUUCUACCACUUUAACCGGUGUGACGGGACAGCGUGUACCUGAAGUACCUGAGUAUCUGAAAAGCUUAAAUCAGGGGUGGGAGAGCCUGCAGUGGGUUCAAGGAGCAAGUGAUGGAGCACCAUGGAAAGAUGUAUUUAAGAUGUAUUUUCACAAGGUACCUCAAUGCUCAGCAGGCAACUGGAUCGUACACCGGAUAGGCAAAUGAGUGGCAGUGUUUGAAAGAAAACCUGUGCACCCAGAUGAUGGGAUAAAGGUGCAUCUGAAGUCAUCUUAUAGCUAUUGGUGACUGCCAAGGGCACAAUACCAAGAACCUUGCCUUCACAAAACGAGGGGAGGGGGGGAACCACAAUUUAGGAAGGGAGCCCCCAGCCAGGCACAACCAGGCUGCGUGGGGGCUGCCUUCAGGGCAGGCAGGGUGCCGAGCACCCCUCGGCCCAGGUGAGCGGGGUCUGUCGGGGCAGCCCCGGGGUCUGUCAGGGCGUCCCUCCCCUUUCUCCCUGCCUCUUUCAGCCGAACAAAGGCGGCGGCGGGGCCGCUCGGUGCCGUGAGGGCGGCCCGCCACAGCCCGGCCCGGCCCCGCGUCGGGAGGAAGCGGCGGGCGGGCGGGUGCCAGCCACCCGGCUCCCCCGCCCCCCGUCUCCUCCCCUCCGCUGCCGAUCCUCCUCCUCCUCCUCCUCCUUCUCCUUCUUCUGCUGCUGGCGGCGGCGGCGGCUUCCUCGGCCCCGGCUCCCCGCUCUUCCCCGCGGCUUCGCCUCGCUCCUCGCCGGGAGGCUCCGCGAGGACGGUGCGAAGUUGUGGUUUUAUUGCUGCGGAUGGACGAGGAGUUGAACCCAGUUUAUGGAGUAGUCUUGCAAAGUGAAGUCCUACUCCGCACUAAGAGAAGCAACACCAAAAGUAAGCAGGAGACCUCUGGGUGUUUUGUUAUUUAAACUUUCAUGACAAGAUGGCAUAGGGUUGAAAGCUGACAGGAUGGCACAGGGUUGAAAGCAGCAGUUUGUCUCAAUAGAAAAUGGAAGUUUCUCAAAGCUGCUGUGCUGGAAAGUAUAUUGUUCUCUGUGGUUCACUUUUUUUUUUUUAAUUCUAUUCUGCAUUAAAGCUAUAAUCACAGGACUUAGAUCCCCCUCCCCAUACACUUUUUAAGUGACCCCAUACCUCCAUAAAACAAAUGAUUUAUGGACCAGUGAUCUAUCAGAUGAACAGCUGAUGUUCAUUCUGCUGCCCAGGUGUGACAGAAGAGCUCCAGUUUGGGGACAUCAGUAAUUCCUGACAUCCCAAGCCUGGCUGGACGUUUCCUGCUGUAGCACCUUUGCUUCACAUCAUAGUGUAAAAGUAUCAGAAAAGGUUUUGUG
rnacentral:lncRNA from 1 species